UUUGUUUCAAAUAUUCAUACAGCUGCGGAAUACGGGAAAAUCAUGUAAAUUGCCGGUCGCACCCAAGAUCCAAAGGAGCUAGAAAAAAAAACAAACAAAAUUAAAAUGCAUUACAAGCAAUUUGUGAGCCGUGAAAUCUAGAGGGUUGUGGCUGCUACGGAAAUAUUAAAUGUUCCGGCAAUUAAGCUUCCGACGAAUUUUACACUUUUGUGCACAAAAACAAUGUGGGAAAAAACAGGACAGCAUUUCAUUGUUUGCAUAUUUAAUAAAGCUAAUCAAAAACACGUCGCGCCCUCGCUGGAUUCGAAAAAAAAGCGAAACCCCGAUCCCUAGCCUUUAGCCCGCCCGAUUUGUCAGAUUUUAGGGAGGCGCUGCAGUGACAGCAUCCUUCACAUAAUUUAUUGGCCAGCACUCAAGGACACACAAAGUUGGGAAAGACGGGCAAAAAAAAAGCAAACAAACAAACGGAUAUCGAACAAAACUGUGAAAAACCCAGCGGGAAACCACCGACGGCAGCCAAACUAAUUUGUUGUCAUUUUUAUGCGACAAAAACGAAAACAAUAAAACAGUAAAAACAAAUUGUUAGAAAGAGAUGCGGCGAGAGGGAGUGAGCGAAAACGCGAAGGACCACGAUUCUUGCAGCUGCCGUAAAACUAAUGAAUUAUUGAUUGAAUUCAUAUUUAUUGUAGAACUUAGAACUAUUUUUUUGCCAAAAAAAAGGGAACAAAUCAGAACUUUUUCGUUUACGAUUUUAU